ensembl:lncRNA
AUGCUCACUUUCCAGCCGCGCACGUUUGUUGGAGCACAGAGUGGCCGCCUUUCAUCGCUGCCUCGCUCAGUUUCAGCUGGGACGCAGACUGUUAAAAAUGAGAGCGUUUCAACGCUGGACUCUCUCUCACCGCCUGUGUGCAUCGCGUCACCUCCGGAGGAGGCUGCCGGUAACCGCGUCUUGCAUGCUAGCUCUCCGUCCUUGGAGGGAGCCCAGGCUGCUGCAUCAGGGCUCCCGGAUUGGGAGGGUGUUGUUUCACAAGGUGGUGUCCACAGAGGCUUCCCUAAGAGGGUGGGGAGCGCUGUCCAAGGGUGCAUCAGUGAGAGGGAUCUGGUCCGCAGCUCAGCGCCAGCUGCACAUCAACCACUUAGAGCUGUUAGCAGUGUUCUUAGCUCUAAAACAUUUCCGUCCAGUCCUGGAGGGCCAGCAUGUCUUAGUCAGGACGGACAAUUCAACAGUGGUGUCUUACAUAAACAGGCAGGGAGGAACACGCUCUCUUCCCCUGUUGCAGCUGUCUCGCUCUCUGCUGUUAUGGUGCAGUGUUCAUUUUCUGUCUCUGAGAGCCACCCAUGUGCUCCUGUAUGCAUUUCCCCCAGUGGAAAUGAUGUCUCCAGUUCUAGAGAGAGUGCGUCGGUGUUCCCUCUCUCUGAUUCUAGUGGCCCCUUGGUGGCCCACAAGGUCGUGGUAUGCAGAGAUAAUCAGCCUGCUAGCAGAGAGUCCUUGGCAGCUUCCUCUCCACAGGGAUCUCCUCUCUCAGGCGGGAGGAGAAAUGUUUCAUCCGCGCCCAGAUCUGUGGCGCCUUCAUGCUUACCUGCUGAGAGGCUAAACUUGAUUGCGAAGGGUUUGCCACCUAGUGUGAUAGCGACGAUUCAGAGCGCUAGGGCCUCAUCUACUAGAGGCUUGUACGCUUACAAAUGGCGAGCCUUCGAGCAAUGGUGCCAGGACUGCCACACUCUCCCAUUUCAGUGCUCUAUUGUGGAUGUUUUGACAUUCCUGCAGGAGCUGCUGGAUAAGGGCCUUUCAUUUUCGACAGUUAAGGUUUAUUUAGCAGCUAUAUCUGCUUGUCAUAUUGGCUUUGACGGGGUGACACCAGGUGCACAUCCCCUCGCCAUACAUUUUCUGAAAGGGGUUCGCCGGCUGAGACCCGUGCUUAAGUCCAGUGUCCCUGCUUGGGACUUGUCUUUGGUGCUGGAGGCCCUUUGUAGCCCCCCGUGUGAACCCAUUGAGUCUGUGGAUAUGAAAUUUCUUUCAUAUAAGGCUGCAUUACUUCUCACUUUGGCUUCGGCAAAGCGAGUGGGUGACCUUCAUGCGCUGUCUGUGCAUCCCGCCUGCACACAGUUUUCUCCUGAUGGCCACAAGGUCGUAUUGCGUCCAAAUGCUGCCUAUUUUCCCAAGAUCAUGCCUGCAUCUUAUAGCUCAAUGGAGUUUGAGUUGCUGAGCUUUUGCUCCCCUCCUUUUGCAUCUGAGGAGCAGAGGAGGAUGCAUUCUCUUUGUCCAGUGCGUGUGCUACGCACCUACAUUGAGCGCACUCAGAAUGUGCAUUUAUGUGACCAGCUGUUUGUCUGCUUCGCCAAUCCAAAUAGAGGUAGAUCUCUGUCCAAACAGAGGCUGUCCCACUGGAUUAUAGAAGCUAUCUCACUGGCAUACGGCACCAGAGGUCUUGCUUUGCCCCACGGGGUGAGAGCUCAUUCCACCAGGGGGAUGGCAACCUCAUGGGCUCUUUUUAAAGGGGUGCCUGUAGCUGAUAUUUGUGCGGCAGGUAGUUGGGCAUCACCGCACACUUUUGUGCAGUUUUAUCGGUUGGACGUUACAGCCCCUUCGGUGGCUUUCUGCUGGGUCUACCACUCACUAAGGAAGUGGUGGCCCGAUUCCGGUUCGGUGGCUGCUCUGCGGGGCGUGUAUAUAUGUCCCAUACUUAUGUGUUGUACCGAGUGA